UCGCCUGGCCGGCCAGGCCGCCUCUUCCUCCAUUUCCAUCGCCUCGCCUGGAUCACCAGGUUACACCAGGUCACCUCCUCCUCGAGCGGUCAUCAGUCGUGUCUCACACCGUACCACCCCCACCACCUGCAUCGGAUCACCCCUUCCUGCAUAUGUGACGGGGUGGCGCAAGCCUAGGCUUAGCCGCGAGACGGAAGGCCGCUCACUGUCAGCGUGGCCUGCAACCAUAGAGAAACCCCCAUCAUGCAAAGGAAGCCCUGCAAGCAUUAGAAGCUACUUCAAUGAUUCUAAAAUCUACCGCCCGUGGCAUACCCUUUGCAGCCCAACUACAGCAGAUGCACGUUUCCUACCAUAUACCCGAUCUUCCCAGGCCCAUCUACCUCUUGGAGCUGCACAACAUGUGUUUGAGCAUAAGCAUCAAGUUCCCAAGGGCCAAUACGUGGGGAUGAUCAUUUACCUGAAGGACUAUAGAUAAUAGUCAUGAUAAUCUAGGAAUUAUGAAGAGACAAGAAUACCGUAAAAGGUGCUCAAAUGUGAAAGGUGUUCAAAGACGGCCGUUUUGCAGGAAGCAGAGUGACUCUGCUGAUGCGGGAGAUGUGUCUGAAAAGCAUAUCGUUAUGUUGAUGGUGAGACCUGGAUCUGCAACAAUAAAAAAGGGUUGGUGAUGCUCCACAGAAGUGGGACUGAAGGGCAUGCACCUGGUAUAGCAGACCGAAGAUAGAAACAUCACGCAGUGCUCUCAACUUUCUGUCAAUACUUCAGAUACCUCGGCCUGCAGGACCUGCAGCAGAGGUGAACAGUGAAGGGCAUGCGCCUGGCAAGGUUCAGAUAUUUUUUUUCUCUUUAUUUCUUCUUAUGCUCCGGUGCUUGUCAUUGAAUCUUUAUGUUUUGUUUUCAUAUGGUUGCAAACAACCCUGGUGGCAGAAGCUA